rnacentral:rRNA from 1 species
GACGAACGCUGGCGGCGUGCCUAAUACAUGCAAGUAGAACGCUGAAGCGAGGAGCUUGCUCUUCUUGGAUGAGUUGCGAACGGGUGAGUAACGCGUAGGUAACCUGCCUUGUAGCGGGGGAUAACUAUUGGAAACGAUAGCUAAUACCGCAUAACAAUGGAUGACACAUGUCAUUUAUUUGAAAGGGGCAAUUGCUCCACUACAAGAUGGACCUGCGUUGUAUUAGCUAGUAGGUGAGGUAAUGGCUCACCUAGGCGACGAUACAUAGCCGACCUGAGAGGGGGAUCGGCCACACUGGGACUGAGACACGGCCCAGACUCCUACGGGAGGCAGCAGUAGGGAAUCUUCGGCAAUGGGGGCAACCCUGACCGAGCAACGCCGCGUGAGUGAAGAAGGGUGUCGGAUCGUAAAGCUCUGUUGUAAGUCAAGAACGGGUGUGAGAGUGGAAAGUUCACACUGUGACGGUAGCUUACCAGAAAGGGACGGCUAACUACGUG